UAAAUGAACCUUUUGAACCAGCAGCAACCAUUUGUUUGACAUUGUUAGAAUCCUUCAAGCUAUGCUCAGCUGACCUACCAGCGUUGUCUCUCGCUUGAUUGAGAAUCCUUGAUACCUUAGCUUCAAAAGAUUCUCGAAGGGUCAUUCCUGGCUCAGGCUUUAAGCGAUUGUGCUGAGCAUCCUGAAUACAUUCUGCGACUUGACGACGGGCUUCCUUAACAGUUCUAGUAACCUCUUUCAUUGUGUCCGCAUCGGCAAUAGUAUCUCCUAUACCAAUGCUAAAACCGUUAUGUAAAAGCCAAUAGUUUACAACUCGUUGAAUACCAUUGAAGAAACCUUUACAAAUCUCAGGACCUUUCUCUUUCCAGAUAGUAUGAACUAAACCACCUUGAGAAGCACCAACAGUCUUCUUGUCAAC